rnacentral:rRNA from 1 species
GACGAACGCUGGCGGCGUGCUUAACACAUGCAAGUCGAACGGAAAGGCCCUGCUUUUGUGGGGUGCUCGAGUGGCGAACGGGGGAGUAACACGUGAGUAACCUGCCCUUGACUUUGGGGUAACUUCAGGAAACUGGGGCUAAUACCGUAUAGGAGCUCCUGCUGCAUGGAGGGGGGUGGAAAGUUUCGGCGGUUGGGGAUGGACUCGCGGCUUAUCGGCUUGUUGGUGGGGUAGUGGCUUACCAAGGCUUUGACGGGUAGCCGGCCUGAGAGGGUGACCGGCCACCUUGGGCCUGAGAUACGGCCCAGACUCCUACGGGAGGCAGCAGUGGCGAAUAUUGCACAAUGGGCGGACGCCUGAUGCAGCAACGCCGCGUGCGGGAUGACGGCCUUCGGGUUGUAAACCGCUUUCGCCUGUGACGAAGCGUGAGUGACGGUAAUGGGUAAAGAAGCACCGGCUAACUACGUG